UUGGAGGGCAAGUCUGGUGCCAGCAGCCGCGGUAAUUCCAGCUCCAAUAGCGUAUAUUAAAGUUGUUGCAGUUAAAAAGCUCGUAGUUGAACUUCAGACCUGACCGGGCGGUCCGCCUAACGGUGUGUACUGUCUGGCCGGGCCUUACCUCUUGGUGAGCCGGCAUGCCCUUCACUGGGUGUGUCGGGGAACCAGGACCCUUACCUUGAGAAAAUUAGAGUGUUCAAAGCAGGCUUACGCCGGAAUACAUUAGCAUGGAAUAAUAAAAUAGGACGUGCGG
rnacentral:rRNA from 1 species